rfam:Citrus sinensis cultivar Ridge Pineapple sweet orange scaffold00014_contig_112, whole genome shotgun sequence.
CAUUGUGAUGGAAACCAGGAGAAGCCGCACCAGACUGUCCAGAGAAAGAUGUAGCAAAAGAUCGCCCAGUGCCGUCCGGAA